ensembl:lncRNA novel transcript
GGAAUUACAGCCUUUUAAUUUACAACUUGGGUUCUUGAAGAGAAGUCCUCUGACCAGCAGCCUGAUCACCUGGAAAUUUGUUAGAAAUGUAGGUUCCUGGGCCUCCCGAGACUGACUGCUCAGAAGUUCUGGAGAUGUCACUGCCACUCUCCCCAGCUCCAUCUUCAUCCCGCCGAGUCCCAUCUUCCUUCUCACCAGCCUGGUAUUUUUGAACGUACAUUUGAAUUGCAACAGUCGGCAUCAAGAUGGUGGGAAAUAGCAGUUGAGAUUUCUCAACUAGAAGAUUGAAAAGUCUAAGGCUGGACAAACAAUCAAACAAUGAGAGGUUAAGCCUGAGUUUGGUCUUCUGUUACUUGGAACUGAAAUAAUGUGCAUUGACACACCUAACAAGUCAAAGUAUUGUCUUUUGCUGGUCUGCUCUGGUCCUGGAAACAUCCACUGAUAGAAUCACUGGUCUGGGACAAAUUGUGGUACCCAAAGACCUCAGGAAGCACUUAGAAGCAUUACUCCUGAAGUCCCAUUCGUCCCAAGAAGAGUUGCUGGCUGGAGGAGACAAUAUGUAAACAUGUCAUGACAAGAUGGUGUGGAUUUGUGAGGCAUCGACCACCCACCAAGCACUGUUCUAGGUGGUGGAGUCACUGCAGUGAGCAAAACAAAGUCCUUGUCUGCAUGGAUCUUUCAUUCCAGUUGGGCCAUCAAGUCUGAGAUAAUCUGUUAUGGCAACGUAAGAAGCUAAUACAAGAUGCAGGAGUGAAGCAGCGAGGUCUGGAAAAAAGCUAUUGCAAAAAUACAGUCUCAGCAAGGGGAUAGAAGGAGCCCUGCAUUCUCUCCUGACACGCUUGACAAAAACAAACCCAACUAGAGGUCGCCAGCAACGGAGGGGCAUCCUGUGUAAGGACUUGGAAGAGGAGUUGUAUUGUCACCCCCUGGCCACUAGAGGACUUCAUCCUAUUUCAGUGGAGGAAGGCCUGUUAGGGGCCUCUCUAUACUGGUGGAGGUUUGGUCGUCUUCCCUUCACUUGAUUUCUGCCAGUGGCCUUAUGUGAGGAUGCUUCAUGAGAUGUCAAGUAUCCGAGGAGUCUGUGACACAACCAUCCAGUGGUGAAUUGCUAAGGAGCUCCUCUCCAGCCUGCUUGACUCUGAGGUUAAAAGAGUCUUCAUGUUGAGCACAAGUCAUCUCUUUGCACUUUCACCAGUUGUGUCCAUCUGAAAAACACAGAGGUCUGUCUCACUUCUGCAUCACAGUCCCUUCCAAGAAGCUCCACAAUGGGUAAGGCACAAUAAAAUGGCUUAUAUUCAACAAACACAUAA